AGUAUGGUAGCGAAGCCUAAGAUUAGAUUACUAGUUUGGUUAACACAGGCUCUACGAUUAAAUCUCAGAUCUGAAAGAAUAUAACUCAAUAUAAAUCUCAGAUAGAACAUUGUUUUUGGGUGUGCGCCUUGAGAACAAAGUGGUGAACAGGUGCUUAACGUGUGGGAAUCUACCGAAUAGUUCAGGCCCAAAUUAUGAAGAAAUCUAAAAGCGAUAUUUGAUGAGCCUGCAUAGUAUUAGGGCAGUUGGUUAGGUAAAGGUUGGCCAAGCCAAUGAUACUUAGCUAGUCUGUUUGGAUGAUCAACCAUAUUGGGACUGAGACGCGACUCGGACUCCCAUAGGCAGCAGUGGGGAAUCUUGGACAAUGGGCGAAAUUUCAAUCCACCAACAUUGCAUGAGUGAAGAAGGGAAAUUUCGCUUGUAAAGCUCUUUUAUCAAGUGCGCAAUCAUGACAGGACUCAAGGAAGAAGCUCUGGCUAACUCCGUGCCAGCAGUCGCGGUAAGACGGGGGGAGGGGGGAAGUAUUCUUCGGAAUGACUGGUUGUAAAUGGUACAUAGGCGGUAAAAUGGGUUGAAAGUGAAAGUCACUAAAAAAGUGGUGGAAUGCUCUCGAAACCAAUUCACUUGAGUGAGACCGAGGAGAGUGGAAUCUUGUGUGUGGGGGUGAAAUCCGAAGAUCUACUAAGGAAGGCCAAAAGCGAAGGUAGUUCUCUGGGUCCCUACCGACGCUAGAGUGCGAAAGCAUAGGGAGCGAACAAGAAUAGAUACCCUGGUAGUCCAUGUCAUAAAUGAUGAGUGUUCACCCUUGGUCUAUGCAAAUCAGGGGCCCAGCUAAUGCGUGAAACACUCCACCUAGGGAGUAUGGUUGCUAGACCGAAACUCAAAGGAAUUGACGAGGGCCUGCACAAGCGUUGGAGCAUGUGGUUUAAUUUGAUAUAUGAACAACUAAACAUGUCCUUAACAGGAUGGUACUUACUUUCAUACAGGUGUUGCAUGGCUGUCAUCAGCUCAUGUCAUGAGAUGUUUGGUCAAGUAUUAUAACGAGCGAAACCCUCAUUUUAUGUUGCUGAGACAUGCGCCUAAGGGGAAAGUCUUUGUAACUGAAGUCAGCUGAGCUUCCGAGUGACAUGCCAAUGCUACUAAUUGAGUGCCAGCACGUAGCUGUGCUGUCAGUAAGAAUAAAGUCGUCGCCUUUCUCGCGCGUUUAGUAAAUUUGCCCAGGUGACGACGACGUGCAGAGAAAGACUCGUCAUUUAGGCGACCCUAUGGUAUGUAAUAAGUUUACGCUCUGAAACAAAAACAUAGGUGCAUGCCGCACUCACUAGCGACUGUCAGUGAUAUACUGGAAGAAGGUGGGGAUGGAAUCAAGUUCGCAUGGCCCUUAUGGGCUGGGCCACACACGUGUUACAAUGGAAAUUAUAAUGGGAAGCAAGACUGUAAGGCGGAGAAAAUCCAGAAAGAUUGCCUCAGUUUGGAUUGUUCUCUGCAACUCUGGAACAUGAAGUUAGAAUCGCUAGUAAUCGCAGAUCAGCAUGCCGCGGUGAAUAUGUACCCGGGACCUGUACACACCGCUCGUCACACCCUGGGAAUUGGUUUCGCUAGAAGCAUCAAACCAAUGAUCACCCGUGACUUUUGUAUAACACUAGUGACACAAAGGCUUUUGGUGGUCUUAUUGACACAUACCACAAUGGGGUCUUUCACUGGGGUGAAGUUGUAACAAGGUAGUCGUAGGGGAACUUAUGGCUG
rnacentral:ncRNA from 1 species